rnacentral:rRNA from 1 species
UACAGAGGUCCCAAGCGUUGUUCGGAUUCACUGGGCGUAAAGGGUGCGCAGGUGGCUGGGUAAGUUUGAUGUGAAAGCCCCGGGCUUAACCCGGGAAUGGCAUUGAAUACUAUUCGGCUGGAGGAUUGGAGGGGGGACUGGAAUUCUUGGUGUAGCAGUGAAAUGCGUAGAUAUCAAGAGGAACACCAGUGGCGAAGGCAGCUCGCUGGGACGUUACUGACGCUGAGACGCGAAAGCGUGGGGAGCAAACAGG